AGAGUUUGAUCCUGGCUCAGGAUGAACGCUAGCUACAGGCUUAACACAUGCAAGUCGAGGGGCAGCAUGUUGGUUGCUUGCAACCAAUGAUGGCGACCGGCGCACGGGUGAGUAACGCGUAUCCAACUACCCUUGUCCAUCGGAUAACCCGUCGAAAGGCGGCCUAACACGAUAUGCGGUUCUCAGCAGGCAUCUAACGAGAACGAAAUGUGAAGGAGAAGGAUGGGGAUGCGUCUGAUUAGCUUGUUGGCGGGGUAACGGCCCACAAGGCGACGAUCAGUAGGGGUUCUGAGAGGAAGGUCCCCCANAUUGGAACUGAGACACGGUCCAAAUCCUACGGGAGCA
rnacentral:rRNA from 1 species